GUGAGGGGCUAAGGGCUCUGCAGCCCCACAUCGUUACCGGCGAGCAGCCAGCAGUUAUUCACCGCCUACAGGACACCAAUUCUGAGGGAAAAACUCAAGAGUCAAAGGAGGGCCAGAGUUAAGGCUUAUGCAUCUGCGAAGGAGGGAGGCCGUGGGUCCGGGGCUCCGGCAGAGAAGCCUCUGAGAGAGAGACUCGGAAGGAGAGUCAAGGGCACACCGGGAUGCGGAGAGGCACCAGGGUGGGGUCCAAAAAUCGAGGCGCCUACUUGUAUCGAUUUCAGCCCCAAGAGGAGCCCCGGCUGAGGACAGGCAGAGAGGGUUUGUGGAGCGCAGUGCUUCCAAUACUCUCUGUUCGAAAAUCACUGGAAUUUCUUCUCUGCCCCCAGGAACACCCAGUGGGUCGGCAGCUAGACUGGGACACUCCAAAGCACCCCCUGCAUCUGUGUGGGUGCCCGGGGAGGCCUCUCUCCAGGGGUCACAGCUUGACUGCUCAGCCAGCUGACUCCUCAACAUGCCCUUCGCCCUGGGGAGGCUCCUGAGGACGCCACAUAUCCUUCCACCUGGAAAACUGACCAGCCAAGCAGCCUGUCCUACAGGUGUGGCAAGCAAACCUGCAGGUUCCUGGCAAAGAAUCCAGCAGAAUCCAUCCAGGAGGCGGUCAAACAAUGCUGAAUGAAUGGGUGAGGCUCAGGGAACUCCUGGCCCUGAUGUGUUCUCAGAAUGUGUCCCUUCACUGGCGAUCCUGUGCCCGGAACCAUUUGCCAGCAUCCACCACUUAGAAAACGGUAAUUAGAAAGAUCAACUUACUACAAAGAAAGCUCAGGAGCCUAGAGCUCACCACGGCGGCUCCAGAGCUGCAAGAGCACAAGCCCAGAAGCAGCCUGGAGGCCAGAGAAGCUGCUGCUCCCCUGACGAGGGGCUGGGCUUGCUGCGUGUUCUCCUGAGGCCCCAGGGAGGGCCAGGCCCGCUGCACUUUCACACCAGGUCAGGAAGGAGGCCACGUGGAGCAGACCCAGGGCUGUGCCAGAAGGCUGCUUAGCUGGCGACACAGUGGAAUAAAGCCCCAUACUGCCGGGCUGAGGCUCCCCGGCUUCGUUCCUGUCUGGCACUUACGCCCUCUCCAAGUCUCUGUGCAUUUUUAAUGAGAAUGAGACAUUUAUCCCGCCUCUCUCAAAUGAAACACAUGAAUAAUGCAUUUGGAAAGCAGGUUAUAACUUGUACAUAUUUACAAAUGUAAGGCUUUAUGAUUAAAUUUCUAGAAGAGUAGAAGAAAAUGUAUAGGAGAGCUGUGUGUGUGUGUGCUAAUAACAACAAAUGAGGAUAAAACCACAAUCGAUAUUGUUUAAGAGCCGUUUUCUUUGCUACACACAAAAGCAAGCACGAGCUCAUUACGAGAAAGGUCGGCUGCUGUUAGCAUUAGUAUUAUUCCCAUUUGUACAAAGGAGAGAGCAGAUUCAGAAAGACUAAGUAACUUGCCCAAUGAUGCUCAGCUAGGACUGCCCUGCCUGGGUGUCCGAGGCCGACUGGGACCUGGGCCUGUCUGACACCAGGCCUGCAUCCUCAACCACAGGCCUCUCAGGGCACCAACUCUCGAGUGUCGACAUCGUCAUCUCUUUACCAAGAAAGUAACAAGUUAGAUUAAAGUGAAGGACUCAGUGCUCAGAACUAAACUCAGAGUGGAGCUGAUUCUCAGACAAAAGGCACACUUUCCUGGUGCAACCCCCUCUUCUGCUGUUAUCUAGAAAGUACAGGCCAUGUUAUCUUAAGUCACUUAUAUCAGCCCAUUUUGCUAAUAAUGGGAAAUUUAUUCAGCAAUUACUAGGUUAUUUUUGAAAUUUUGCAUAGUUGCUAGUAAAUUUAUAUCAUGUAAACUAGCUUCAAAAACGGUGCAAGAGGUGAGGGCCUGCAGGUCCUAUGGUCAGAGCCUUCUCCCAUUGCAAAGUCCCUCCCCGCUGGCCCCAGGAAUAAUCUUUUUGGAUGAAAGUCUCUCCUUGCUAAAUAAAUAAGCAAACAAAAAGCAACAAGUAAAAAAUGCAAAAAACAAGUAAAAAAAGCAACAAGUAAAAAAUGCAUGUUUUCUAGGACCUUAAGUACUUAUUAGUAUCUUUUCUUACCUAUAGGAAACUUAUUCAUAGAUUACGUGAAAUAAACCUAUUUUAUACAUUUUUGCUCUGAUGAUCCUCUUAAGAAAAUUGGUCUACUGAACUUCAAAAAGAAAAAAAAAAUCACAGUGGGAGGGGUUCAAUCCUAAAAAUGAGAACAAACAAAACCGGAAUCCCAGAAGGGCAAACUUGCCAAAC